rnacentral:misc_RNA from 1 species
ACACCAUCAAAUUCUUAACCCAAAAAUUUCUGGUCUUCAAGGUAACAUCUGGUUAAUUAUGUUGCAGCAACUCUGUUCCUCCACACACCACCACACCCCCACCCCAACAACAACCCCCACCCCCCCCAAAAAGCUUGUGACCUUGGUUUCUUUCUUUUUAGGUUUUUUCACUUCUACAUCUUGAUUUUUGUUAUGAUCUUUUGUAUUUUU